GAGGGUAUAGCUCAGUGGUAAAGUGCAUUCUCAGCAUGCCUGAGGUUCUGGGUUCAAUUCCCAGUACCUCCA
rnacentral:tRNA from 1 species